rnacentral:rRNA from 1 species
GAGGGUUCGGCCCUCGGCUGACGGCUCAGUAACACGUGGAUAAUCUGCCCUUAGGUGGAGGAUAAUCUCGGGAAACUGAGAAUAAUACUCCAUAGAUCUAGGAUGCUGGAAUGCGUCUAGAUUGAAAGCUCCGGCGCCUAAGGAUGAGUCUGCGGGCUAUCAGGUUGUAGUCAGGGUAAAGACCUGACUAGCCUACGACGGAUACGGGUUGUGAGAGCAAUAACCCGGAGACGAUAUCUGAGACACGAUAUCGGGCCCUACGGGGCGCAGCAGGUGCGAAAACUUCACACUGUGCGAAAGCGCGAUGAGGGAAUCCCAAGUGUUUGCUCGUAAGAGUAAACUGUUUCUUUGUUUAAAAUGCAGAGAGAGUAAGGGCUGGGUAAGACGGGUGCCAGCCGCCGCGGUAAUACCUGCAGCUCAAGUGGUGAUCAUUAUUAUUGGGCCUAAAACGUCCGUAGCCGGUUUAGUAAAUGCCUGGGUAAAUCGUGUAGCUUAACUAUACGACUUCCGGGUAGACUGCUAAACUUGAGACCGGGAGAAGCUAGAGGUACUCCUGGGGGUAGAGGUGAAAUUCUGUAAUCCUAGGGGGAC